AGAGUUUGAUCCUGGCUUAGGAUGAACGCUAGCUACAGGCUUAACACAUGCAAGUCGAGGGGCAGCAUUGGAGUAGCAAUACUCAGAUGGCGACCGGCGCACGGGUGAGUAACACGUAUCCAACCUGCCGCUUACUCGGGGAUAGCCUUUCGAAAGAAAGAUUAAUACCCGAUGGUAUAAAGAGUUCGCAUGUUCUCUUUAUUAAAGAAUUUCGGUAAGCGAUGGGGAUGCGUUCCAUUAGAUUGUUGGCGGGGUAACGGCCCACCAAGUCUACGAUGGAUAGGGGUUCUGAGAGGAAGGUCCCCCACAUUGGAACUGAGACACGGUCCAAACUCCUACGGGAGGCAGCAGUGAGGAAUAUUGGUCAAUGGACGAGAGUCUGAACCAGCCAAAAGUAGCGUGAAGGAUGACCGCCCUAUGGGUUGUAAACUUCUUUUAUAAGGGAAUAAAGUGAGGGACGUGUCCCUUUUUGUAUGUACCUUAUGAAUAAGGAUCGGCUAACUCCGUGCCAGCCGCCGC
rnacentral:rRNA from 1 species